rnacentral:rRNA from 1 species
GACGAACGCUGGCGGCGUGCUUAACACAUGCAAGUCGAACGGAAAGGCCCUGCUUUUGUGGGGUGCUCGAGUGGCGAACGGGUGAGUAACACGUGAGUAACCUGUCCUUGACUUUGGGAUAACUUUAGGAAACUGGGGCUAAUACCCGAUAGGAUCUCCUGCUGCAUGGUGGGGGUUGGAAAGUUUCGGCGGUUGGGGAUGGACUCGCGGCUUAUCAGCUUGUUGGUGGGGUAGGGGCUGACCAAGGCUUUGACGGGUAGCCGGCCUGAGAGGGUGACCGGCCACAUUGGGACUGAGAUACGGCCCAGAAUCCUACGGGAGGCAGCAGUGGGGAAUAUUGCACAAUGGGCGGAAGCCUGAUGCAGCAACGCCGCGUGCGGGAUGACGGCCUUCGGGUUAUAAACCGCUUUCGCCUGUGACGAAGCGUGAGUGACGGUAAUGGGUAAAGAAGCACCGGCUAACUACGUG